GAACUCAAAGGAGACUGCCAGUGAUAAACUGGAGGAAGGUGGGGAUGACGUCAAGUCAUCAUGGCCCUUACGACCAGGGCUACACACGUGCUACAAUGGCAUAUACAAAGAGAAGCGACCUCGCGAGAGCAAGCGGACCUCAUAAAGUAUGUCGUAGUCCGGAUUGGAGUCUGCAACUCGACUCCAUGAAGUCGGAAUCGCUAGUAAUCGUAGAUCAGAAUGCUACGGUGAAUACGUUCCCGGGCCUUGUACACACCGCCCGUCACACCAUGGGAGUGGGUUGCAAAAGAAGUAGGUAGCUUAACCUUCGGGAGGGCGCUUACCACUUUGUGAUUCAUGACUGGGGUGAAGUCGUAACAAGGUAACCGUAGGGGAACCUGCGGUUGGAUCACCUCCUU
rnacentral:rRNA from 1 species